GUCUCCUCCUAAAGAGUAACGGAGGAGCACGAAGGUUGGCUAAUCCUGGUCGGACAUCAGGAGGUUAGUGCAAUGGCAUAAGCCAGCUUGACUGCGAGCGUGACGGCGCGAGCAGGUGCGAAAGCAGGUCAUAGUGAUCCGGUGGUUCUGAAUGGAAGGGCCAUCGCUCAACGGAUAAAAGGUACUCCGGGGAUAACAGGCUGAUACCGCCCAAGAGUUCAUAUCGACGGCGGUGUUUGGCACCUCGAUGUCGGCUCAUCACAUCCUGGGGCUGAAGUAGGUCCCAAGGGUAUGGCUGUUCGCCAUUUAAAGUGGUACGCGAGCUGGGUUUAGAACGUCGUGAGACAGUUCGGUCCCUAUCUGCCGUGGGCGCUGGAGAACUGAGGGGGGCUGCUCCUAGUACGAGAGGACCGGAGUGGACGCAUCACUGGUGUUCGGGUUGUCAUGCCAAUGGCACUGCCCGGUAGCUAAAUGCGGAAGAGAUAAGUGCUGAAAGCAUCUAAGCACGAAACUUGCCCCGAGAUGAGUUCUCCCUGACCCUUUAAGGGUCCUGAAGGAACGUUGAAGACGACGACGUUGAUAGGCCGGGUGUGUAAGCGCAGCGAUGCGUUGAGCUAACCGGUACUAAUGAACCGUGAGG
rnacentral:rRNA from 1 species